CAGUUAACCAAGAUUAUUAGCAGAACAGCUAAUUGGUUCAAGUGGGAAAUUUUUUUCAUUUUUUAACGUUUUUCAUUCUCUAUCUCAUGAAUUUAUGUAGUUUUAUAAUUAAUUUUAAAAGUAUUCAUUUUAAUUAUCUUGUGUUUCGAUCUCUUGAUUUAUUCAAUGUUAAUUGUCAAAAUUAGAUAUGAAUGUGUAUCCAAUGGAUUCAAUUUUUCUGGAUGGUUUAUCUCAAUGGGAUUUUAUGGUUAUGAUGGCUAUGAUGGCUCUAUGGGUUAAUCAAUUUGGAAGGUUGACCAAAAAGGUGGUACAAACGUCAACAUACCUUUCAUCUGAUCGAGAUAGCCUGUGUUGAAGGUCUGAUAAAGCAGGAUCAAAAGGUAAUCCAAGGGAAGAACGGCUUGUUCCUGGUCCUGGAUUUCCUUGUCUUCCAGAGUUUCAAAUUAUUUUAGCAGCAAUGACACUUUAAAUGGUGCCGAUGGACAAUAGGAUGUGAAAAAUUAUGGCUGAAAAUGAUUGAUAAUUAAGGAGUUGACAUAAGGAAAGGUGAAUUGGUCUGGUUUCUCUUUGAUUUCCUUGGUUUGCCUUUCAAUCAUGAUUUGUAACAUUUGGACAUCCAAUUAUGCUAUUCAAUUGAUUGAAUUGCUAAAUAAUUCAUGAAGAUUCAACGAGGAUUCAAUGAUAAUUGACAAAUAAGGAGACACAUAAAGACUCAUAUGAUUGGCACUUUUUUUAAAUCAAUUUACAGUUCAACUUUACGUCUUCAACAGUUUAACAGUACCAUAAAAUGUAAAUUGAACAAAACUUUGAAAUCCAGUUGUUAACCUUUUACUGAUCAACUGGGAAAUCAAGAAUUUACUUUAUUGUAAUUACUUUGUUGCUGUUAUUUGUUUUACACUUGUUACUCCGUUUAUCAAAAAAUCAGGGACUAAAGAUGAUGACAAAGAUUGAACAAUUCAUAAUCAUUUGGAAGAAAAGUUCAUCCACAAGGCAAAUAAGAUAUCGCAACAAAUUCAAGUGUUAAUUUUUCACCUUGUUUGACUUGAUAAACUACAGAAUUGAAAAUGAUACCAAGAGUGUAUUGUGAAGGGAUUUCGCGCAAUUUACACUCAACGCAUACUCUCAUCAGUUAACAUUUAGAUGAUAUUCAUUCAUCUUCAGGUUUGAUGAUGAAAAACUCCAAACUAAAUUGCUUGAAAUAUGCGACUCUAUUCCCGGAAUUUUGUGACAGCUGCCUGAUACAAUUGUAAAUCUUUGACCAAUUAGAUUUCACGUCUACCCGAAAAUUCCUGAUCGAGUUAAAUCACAUUUUUGCUCAAAGUAUGAGAGCAUAAAUACCGUAAAUUCAUUAACCAAACAAACCUUUUUUUUGCAAAAAAAUA